UACAUGUUACCUAAAUUAGUAUUAUUGCUAACCGAUAAUGAUAAAUUCACUGGAUUAAUAUUAUAUUUGGGUUUGGCACAGAUUUUCAUAAAUUAGAGAUAAAAUACACAUUAAGUACAAAUUUGACUAAAAAAGGAUCCCUUCCCAGAUCUGACCCGGUUGAAGAUCGGGUCGGGUCCGAGUCGGGUUUGGGUCCGAAUCGGGUCCAUUUCUUUUGUGCUUUUUGAACAUAAUUUUGGGCAAAUCUAAAUUGGCUAUAUCAUAACUAUAAGGUGCUGGAUGACCCAUGACUUAAAAGAUUUGCAAUUGACCUCCAGUGAGAAUAGAUGACCCGUGACGAAUCCGUCUACAACCCAAAUUUCAUAUCACAUUAUUUAUUUUAUCUAUAUGACUGAUUGGACGGAACUUGGUGAUUCCCACUCACUUCAUCACAAAGAAAAAAAACUUUUUAACCUCCAAUCCCAUGAACAAAAGCUGAAAUUACUAUUUAUUCCCAAAAUUUCUAUUCAUGGCUGAAAACACUGUUCAUAUGAACAGUGUUCGAG
rnacentral:lncRNA from 1 species